GAUGAACGCUGGCGGCGUGCCUAAUACAUGCCAGUCGAGCGAACAGACGAGGAGCUUGCUCCUCUGACGUUAGCGGCGGACGGGUGAGUAACACGUGGAUAACCUACCUAUAAGACUGGGAUAACUUCGGGAAACCGGAGCUAAUACCGGAUAAUAUAUUGAACCGCAUGGUUCAAUAGUGAAAGACGGUUUUGCUGUCACUUAUAGAUGGAUCCGCGCCGCAUUAGCUAGUUGGUAAGGUAACGGCUUACCAAGGCAACGAUGCGUAGCCGACCUGAGAGGGGGACGGGCAACAGGGGAAAGGAGAACGGGCACAGCCUCAGAGGGGGGGCAGAAGGGGGAAAUCUUCCGAAAGGGGCAAAGGCCGGACGGAGCAACGCGGGGGGAGGGAUGAAGGUUUUCGGAUCUAAAAACUUUGUUAUGAGGGAAAAAAAAAUGUGAAAGUAACUAUGCGCGUCUGAAGGUACCAUAAUAAGAAGCCCAGGAAAACCAACGCC
rnacentral:rRNA from 1 species